UAUAAAUAGGUAAUUAUGAUUGAUUAUGAGUUAUUUGCAAAAUUCUGCUUUGUUACUAGACUUUUUAACAGUUACACCACUCAUUGCAGUAGAGUGUAUACGAAACUUUGUGUAAAUUUAAUUUGAAGUGUAACUUCGCAUUAAACACAAAUUACUUUACCCGACUGCAAAAAUUGUUUUUAUUUCAUUUCAGACAGCAAAUUUAUGUCUAAUUGGGAGAGCAUUGUUCGCCAUGUUAUGUCUCACACUUUGUCUCAGGAAGUUGCCCUAGAAUACAACUGGGUUGGAAAGGGCUGGAAAAAACCAUUCGAAAAACUUAGACUUAAAAAAGUCAUAUAAGAUGCUGUAAGAGGAAGUAGACAGGGGUUUACUAAUAAUGAAAUCGAGAAGACAAUGAAGGAGUGCCUAAGAUAUGCCAAGGAUAGGGAAGGCGGGCGGAGGAAGAGAUUGACUAAAAAGUUGCAACAACAAAGAGAAGAAAAUGAAAAUGAUAUGUGAACAACAUUUAGUAAUAAAUUGUAGUAAUUAG